UCACUAACGCUGAGGAUGGAAGGAGGGAGGAGCAUGUCUCUCUCUCAUGCUCCUUUGCGGUUCCCACAAUUCCCAGCACAGGAUGUUCCUCCCUCCUUCCAUCCUCAGCGUUAGUGA